rnacentral:misc_RNA from 1 species
GAUGAAGAACGCAGUGAAAUGCGAUAAGUAAUGUGAAUUGCAGAAUUCAGUGAAUCAUCGAAUCUUUGAACGCACAUUGCGCCCGCCAGUAUUCUGGCGGGCAUGCCUGUUCGAGCGUCAUUACAACCCUCAGGCCCCCGGGCCUGGCGUUGGGGAUCGGCGGAGCCCCCCGUGGGCACACGCCGUCCCCCAAAUGCAGUGGCGGUCCCGCCGCAGCUUCCAUUGCGUAGUAGCUAACACCUCGCAACUGGAGAGCGGCGCGGCCACGCCGUAAAACACCCAACUUCUGAAUGUUGACCUCGAAUCAGGUAGGAAUACCCGCUGAACUUAAGCAUAUCAAUAAGCGGAGGA